CUGUUUGGUUACUUUUUAAUACUAGGAACAGUUGGUUUUCAGAAAGAGUAAACAGAUUCGCCAGUUCUAGUUACAACUUUUCGCAUGUGCUGCCCAUUGUCAUGAAGCAGAAUCGCACUUCGAAUAGCAAGACAAUUUGCUUUCUGACGGAUGAGGAAUUCACCUACAAUCACCAGUCUCAGGACCGCACUUGUCAAUAUUUGAACUGGCCAAAAUUUUCACGUUGCCAAACAGGUUUUUCCAAAGUCGACCAGCUCUGCUGAACACCCAAUAUCUAGAAGUUUUAAGUUGGGAGCUUCGUGAUGAAAAGUGCCGUGCCUAAAGUAUUUGUGU